rnacentral:rRNA from 1 species
ACUCCUACGGGAGGCAGCAGUAAGGAAUAUUGGUCAAUGGGCGCAAGCCUGAACCAGCCAUGCCGCGUGCAGGAAGACGGCCCUAUGGGUUGUAAACUGCUUUUGUCAGGGAAUAAACCCCCGCUCGUGAGCGGGGCUGAAGGUACCUGAAGAAUAAGCAUCGGCUAACUCCGUGCCAGCAGCCGCGGUAAUACGGAGGAUGCAAGCGUUAUCCGGAUUCAUUGGGUUUAAAGGGUGCGCAGGCGGAUUGGUAAGUCAGGGGUGAAAUCCCACAGCUCAACUGUGGAACUGCCUUUGAUACUGUCAGUCUAGAGUAUAGUUGAAGUUGGCGGAAUGUGUCAUGUAGCGGUGAAAUGCUUAGAUAUGACACAGAACACCGAUCGCGAAGGCAGCUAGCUAAGCUAUAACUGACGCUCAUGCACGAAAGCGUGGGGAUCAAACAGGAUUAGAUACCCUGGUAGUC